GAUGAACGCUGGCGGCGUGCCUAAUACAUGCAAGUCGAGCGAACAGACGAGGAGCUUGCUCCUCUGACGUUAGCGGCGGACGGGUGAGUAACACGUGGAUAACCUACCUAUAAGACUGGGAUAACUUCGGGAAACCGGAGCUAAUACCGGAUAAUAUAUUGAACCGCAUGGUUCAAUAGUGAAAGACGGGUUUGCUGUCACUUAUAGAAGGAUCCGCGCCGCAUUAGCUAGUUGGUAAGGUAACGGCUUACCAAGGCAACGAUGCGUAGCCGACCUGAGAGGGUGAUCGGCCACACUGGAACUGAGACACGGUCCAGACUCCUACGGGAGGCAGCAGUAGGGAAUCUUCCGCAAUGGGCGAAAGCUUGACGGAGCAACGCCGCGUGAGUGAUGAAGGUCUUCGGAUCGUAAAACUCUGUUAUUAGGGAAGAACAAAUGUGUAAGUAACUAUGCACGUCUUGACGGUACCUAAUAAGAAAGCCACGGCUAACUACGUG
rnacentral:rRNA from 1 species